GCCUUCGUGGUGUAAUGGUCAGCACGCUCGACGCGUAACCUAGAGGUCCGGUCCGUGGUUCGAUUCCCGGCGAAGGCG
rnacentral:tRNA from 1 species